GUGCCAGCAGCCGCGGUAAUACGUAGGUGGCAAGCGUUAUCCGGAAUUAUUGGGCGUAAAGCGCGCGUAGGCGGUUUUUUAAGUCUGAUGUGAAAGCCCACGGCUCAACCGUGGAGGGUCAUUGGAAACUGGAAAACUUGAGUGCGGAAGAGGAAAGUGGAAUUCCAUGUGUAGCGGUGAAAUGCGCAGAGAUAUGGAGGAACACCAGUGGCGAAGGCGACUUUCUGGUCUGUAACUGACGCUGAUGUGCGAAAGCGUGGGGAUCAAACAGGAUUAGAUACCCUGGUAGUCAAGGGCG
rnacentral:rRNA from 1 species